rnacentral:rRNA from 1 species
UUCCUACGGGAGGCAGCAGUGGGGAAUCUUAGACAAUGGGGGCAACCCUGAUCUAGCCAUGCCGCGUGAGUGAUGAAGGCCUUAGGGUUGUAAAGCUCUUUCAGCUGGGAAGAUAAUGACGGUACCAGCAGAAGAAGCCCCGGCUAACUCCGUGCCAGCAGCCGCGGUAAUACGGAGGGGGCUAGCGUUGUUCGGAAUUACUGGGCGUAAAGCGCACGUAGGCGGACUGGAAAGUCAGAGGUGAAAUCCCAGGGCUCAACCUUGGAACUGCCUUUGAAACUAUCAGUCUGGAGUUCGAGAGAGGUGAGUGGAAUUCCGAGUGUAGAGGUGAAAUUCGUAGAUAUUCGGAGGAACACCAGUGGCGAAGGCGGCUCACUGGCUCGAUACUGACGCUGAG